rnacentral:tRNA from 1 species
CGGCUUGUAGCUAGGGCCGCGCGGCUCGUUGCGGCCGUGCUGCGGACGCCAGGGUUCGCCCGGCGUCUCGGCAUCGCCCAUGUCGG